rnacentral:misc_RNA from 1 species
UACGUAGGGCGCAAGCGUUGUCCGGAAUCAUUGGGUGUAAAGGGUGCGUAGGCGGAAGCCUAAGUCGGGGGUGAAAUCUUGCCGCUUAACGGUAAAAUUGCCUUCGAUACUGGGCUUCUUGAGUUCGGAAGAGGUUGGUGGAAUUCGUGGUGUAGCGGUGAAAUGCAUAGAGAUCACGAAGAACACCAGUGGCGAAGGCGGCCAACUGGUCCGACACUGACGCUGAGGUACGAGAGCGUGGGGAGCGAACAGG